rnacentral:snRNA from 1 species
UCCCCAUCUCUACAAAAAAGUUAGCCAGGCAUGUUGGUUUGCAUCUGUAGUCCUGGCCAAUUGGGAGGCUGAGAUGGGAAGAUCACUUGAGCCCAGGAGUGUGAGGUUGCAGUGAGCUAUGAAUGCACCACUACACUCCAGCGUGGGCAACAGAG